GACGAACGCUGGCGGCGUGCUUAACACAUGCAAGUCGAACGGAAAGGCCCUGCUUUUGUGGGGUGCUCGAGUGGCGAACGGGUGAGUAACACGUGAGUAACCUGCCCUUGACUUUGGGAUAACUUCAGGAAACUGGGGCUAAUACCGGAUAGGAGCUCCUGCUGCAUGGUGGGGGUUGGAAAGUUUCGGCGGUUGGGGAUGGACUCGCGGCUUAUCAGCUUGUUGGUGGGGUAGUGGCUUACCAAGGCUUUGACGGGUAGCCGGCCUGAGAGGGUGACCGGCGACAUUGGGCCUGAGAUACGGACCAGACUCCUACGGGAGGCAGCAGUGGGGAAUAUUGCACAAUGGGCGGAAGCCUGAUGCAGAAACGCCGCGUGCGGGAUGACGGCCUUCGGGUUAUAAACCGCUUUCGCCUGUGACGAAGCGUGAGUGACGGUAAUGGGUAAAGAAGCACCGGCUAACUACGUG
rnacentral:rRNA from 1 species